UGGGGAAUUUUGGACAAUGGGCGAAAGCCUGAUCCAGCAAUGCCGCGUGUGUGAAGAAGGCCUUCGGGUUGUAAAGCACUUUUGUCCGGAAAGAAAUCCUUGGCUCUAAUACAGUCGGGGGAUGACGGUACCGGAAGAAUAAGCACCGGCUAACUACGUGCCAGCAGCCGCGGUAAUACGUAGGGUGCAAGCGUUAAUCGGAAUUACUGGGCGUAAAGCGUGCGCAGGCGGUUUGCUAAGACCGAUGUGAAAUCCCCGGGCUCAACCUGGGAACUGCAUUGGUGACUGGCAAGCUAGAGUAUGGCAGAGGGGGGUAGAAUUCCACGUGUAGCAGUGAAAUGCGUAGAGAUGUGGAGGAAUACCGAUGGCGAAGGCAGCCCCCUGGGCCAAUACUGACGCUCAUGCACGAAAGCGUGGGGAGCAAACAGGAUUAGAUACCCUGGUAGUCCACGCCCUAAACGAUGUCAACUAGUUGUUGGGGGAUUCAUUUCCUUAGUAACGUAGCUAACGCGUGAAGUUGACCGCCUGGGGAGUACGGUCGCAAGAUUAAAACUCAAAGGAAUUGACGGGGUCAUAGCUGUUUCCU
rnacentral:rRNA from 1 species